rnacentral:rRNA from 1 species
AGUGAACGCUGGCGGUAGGCCUAACACAUGCAAGUCGAACGGCAGCACAGUAAGAGCUUGCUCUUACGGGUGGCGAGUGGCGGACGGGUGAGGAAUACAUCGGAAUCUACUUUUUCGUGGGGGAUAACGUAGGGAAACUUACGCUAAUACCGCAUACGACCUACGGGUGAAAGCAGGGGAUCUUCGGACCUUGCGCGAUUGAAUGAGCCGAUGUCGGAUUAGCUAGUUGGCGGGGUAAAGGCCCACCAAGGCGACGAUCCGUAGCGGGUCUGAGAGGAUGCAGAGACACUCUGAAAGAGACACGCGCCAGAGACCUAUACGAGAGGGAGCAGGGGGAAAUAGUGGACUAGGGGCGAGAGUCUGACAGAGACACACCGUGGGUGAAGAAGGCCUUCGGGUUGUAAAGCCCUUUUGUUGGGAAAGAAAAGCAGCAGGUUAAUACCCCGCUGUUCUGACGGUACCCAAAGAAUAAGCACCGGCUAACUUCGUG